rnacentral:rRNA from 1 species
CGAUGAUUAUCUAGCUUGCUAGAUAUGAUUAGUGGCGGACGGGUGAGUAACAUUUAGGAAUCUGCCUAGUAGUGGGGGAUAGCUCGGGGAAACUCGAAUUAAUACCGCAUACGACCUACGGGUGAAAGGGGGCGCAAGCUCUUGCUAUUAGAUGAGCCUAAAUCAGAUUAGCUAGUUGGUGGGGUAAAGGCCCACCAAGGCGACGAUCUGUAACUGGUCUGAGAGGAUGAUCAGUCACACCGGAACUGAGACACGGUCCGGACUCCUACGGGAGGCAGCAGUGGGGAAUAUUGGACAAUGGGGGCAACCCUGAUCCAGCCAUGCCGCGUGUGUGAAGAAGGCCUUUUGGUUGUAAAGCACUUUAAGCAGGGAGGAGAGGCUAAUGGUUAAUACCCAUUAGAUUAGACGUUACCUGCAGAAUAAGCACCGGCUAACUCUGUGCCAGCAGCCGCGGUAAUACAGAGGGUGCGAGCGUUAAUCGGAAUUACUGGGCGUAAAGCGAGUGUAGGUGGCUCAUUAAGUCACAUGUGAAAUCCCCGGGCUUAACCUGGGAACUGCAUGUGAUACUGGUGGUGCUAGAAUAUGUGAGAGGGAAGUAGAAUUCCAGGUGUAGCGGUGAAAUGCGUAGAGAUCUGGAGGAAUACCGAUGGCGAAGGCAGCUUCCUGGCAUAAUAUUGACACUGAGAUUCGAAAGCGUGGGUAGCAAACAGGAUUAGAUACCCUGGUAGUCCACGCCGUAAACGAUGUCUACUAGCCGUUGGGGUCCUUGAGACUUUAGUGGCGCAGUUAACGCGAUAAGUAGACCGCCUGGGGGAGUACGGCCGCAAGGUUAAAACUCAAAUGAAUUGACGGGGGCCCGCACAAGCGGUGGGAGCAUGUGGGUUUAAUUCGAUGCAACGCCGAAGAACCUUACCUGG